UAAUUUUUUCGAUCAACAGUAUUCCCACUUAUCCUCCAACGUGACUUGUAUCGAUUGAUGGUAGUGGAUGUGCUAAACCACUUGAGCUACUAAAAAUCAAGUUUCAAGAAUCCCCCUUUUUCUUUUAGGUAAUUUUUGAAACAAAGUAAAUUUAAUUUCAUCUACUGGUUUUUGUUACUUUCCUAGUUUAAUUCUUAGUGCUAUUAGUUUUUUAUUUUGGUGUUUAGUAUGCCUAUUUUAAUUGUGAGAAACAUUUUAGUUAGGGAGGAAUUGGUUAUUAGCUUUACACUCUGGAUUGAAUUGUGAUAUGACAUGUUAAUGACUUUUUGUGUUAAGUGUGAUCUCCUUUCAAGAAAAUUGGAUAAGUUCUGUAUAGAGACCAAUUCAUGCAAUAUGCAUUUGACUAAUAUGUGUAUAGUCGUAUAUAAUCAGUAUAUAAUUUGUGUAUAUUAAACUUAAAAAUAGGUAGUUUUUCUCAUUAGAGUUUAAUUUCUAUAUGCUAACAACUAGUGCUUGGAUAAGCUCUGUAGAGACCAAUUCAUGCAACAUGCACUUGAUUAAUAUGUAUAUAAUUAGCGUAUAAUUUAUGUAUAUUAACUUGAAAAAAUAAGUGGUUUUUUUUUGUGUUAGAGUAAAGUUGUUUAUAAUAAGUGGGAUUAGUAAGUUGAUAAUAAAAUAUAUAAUUUAUUACUCCUAUAUAACUUUUUUUUUUACCAUCAACAUAGGUUAAAUUAAAUUAUUUUGGUAUAUUGCAAGUAUUGUCACAUUUUUUGCGGAAGAGAUAGGAUGCUAGUCUCUCAUCUCCUCAUCCUAAAUAUAGUAGUUGUGUAGUUUCUUAUUCUUUCAUGUGUACUGUUAUCUCAAAUUCUCAAUGUCUUACUAUUUUAUUAUUGUAUUUUCUUGCAUUUGUAUUUUGAUAACUUUUCUCUUGAAUCGAGGAUAUAUUAGAAAUAAUCUUUUUAUUUCAUAAAGGUAUGAAUAAGAUUUGUGUAUAUUUACCUUUUCAAACUCUUCAAAGAUGGGAAUAAGGUUACUGUAUGUCUUAUUUUUUAUAAAUUCAUUAUAUAAUUACACUGAAUAUAUUGUUCUGACAAGUAUUUUGCACUCUAAUUUACUUAUUUAGGUGAUUCUUAUUCUAAAGAGGGUGUUUAAACAAGAAGUUUCUUUUUAUUUGCUUUUGCUAAAGAGGAAAUUUGAGGUGAUAAUUGAUAUAAUAUUGUCAAAAAGUUUGUCCUUUUCAUGAUUUUGGUAGACGUGAGGUAUUUUUCUUCUCUGUAAUCUUUUGCAGUGAUAAAAUUAUUUCAUCAUUUAUUGGGUCUUCUGAAUGGACCAACCAACUUUUGUUUUUGACUUCAAAAUAUUUAUAUUCACACAAUAAAUAGGAAAGAUUUGUUUUAUAUACUGUAUGUAUAUAUUAUUUAACGAUCGAUGAUGAAUGACGUGUAUUCUCACUUUAAUUUGUAAUUUUCACACUUAGAAGAAACUUAUAAUUUUGUUAUGGAGUACUAUGUAAGUAAAAAAAAAACCCGAAGGGUACGUAGUUAAAUUAUAGAUAGAGGUGGAGCUAGCUUAUAUGUUAUAGAAUUUAGAUGAAUUCAAUAAUUUUAUUCGGAUUUUGUAUAUUCAAAACUCCAUGAAGAUGCAAACGAGAAAUUAUAUUACCAGUAUAAAAAUUUUAUUUGUUCAAAUGAUAAUUAGGUUCAAGAUUAAUUUAAUCUAUACUAUAUAUUAAUUCCAUCAAUAUUAUAUUGAGUAGAUCGGAAUAAGAUGCAUUUCCUUAUUCUUUUUAUCAGUUUGAUGAAUUUGGCGUUUUCUUUAGUCUUAUAGGUGUAAGCUCGAUUGAAAAUAAAAAUUCACUUACACGAAAUUUAAUCUCUAAUUUUUUAUACUAUUGAAAUUAACAAGAAAAAAGGUCUCUAUUGUCGUAAAAUAAAAACAUUUGCAUAUAAAAAACAAAUAGUUUCUCACCUAAAAUAAUCCUUAAUUGACUAGCGAGCUUCGCUCAACGGAUAAUAUAAGAUAAAAUGGCUAGAGCUCCUCUCCUAAUAUUUAAAUGACAUUCGCUUCUUUAAAAAUAUAUUAAGAAAUUUGUGAAAUAUCAAUAAAUAUUUGAUUAUGAACUCAUACUUAUUGUCAUCUAUAACUCAAGGUUAACGUAGAAAUUAAUAAACUUCAAAUUCUUAAUCUAUCUAUAAUUAAAAAAAAAUGAUUAUAAUGCAUAACAUAUGCUGUUUCUUACGUUCUCAAUUAUUGUCGAAAAUAUUUGUUUUUUUCUAAUGAGAAAGCGUUUCAAUUUCCAGCAAAGACUGAGUAGAAUAUUAGUAUUACUUUUGCAUAUUAAACAAAAACAAAUAUAUUUAGCUAAAUUUGGUAACACAGCUUUAUAUAUUUUUGAAUGGGUGCUGAUUUCUCUCUUUUAUGUAUGUGAUCUUCAAGUAAUAUCUCCAAAUGUGCAUUGACAUGCUCCAUCUAUUCUUGUAUUAAUUGAAUUUGUGAGGCAAUAUAUUACUAAAAAAAUACAUUUAAGUACAUAAUUUGAAUUAUACUUUUCACUAUUGUCCUUUGUGAAAUCAUAAAAAUAUAAUUUCGUAAAUAGUGCAAUUUAUCUCCUAAAAAAAUAUCAAGAAAGGACAAAUAUGAAAAAAAAUUUAAACAUCCAACUUGAACUUUGAAUAAUUUAAUUACUCAACAAUAAAAAAAAAUCAAAAAUUCAGUUAAUAUGAAAUAAAGGGAGUAGCUAUUUAAAAUAAUGCUAUUUUAAUCUUUUUACUUGUAAAUUUUUUAUAUAGUGUCUAGUGAUCACGUUAGAUCUCAAUUUAUAUAGAGUAAAACUCAUUGAAGAAGAAAAUGCCCCUAUCAAUAUGUUUUUCAUAUUUAAUACUCCAAUCCAAAAGUUCUACUAUAAUUUUGUUCUGCUGACUAAGGUUUACUAUAUUUGUAAAAAUAUCUACCAAUGUUUGUUUAUAGUACUAUCAAGUUGAUGAUCUUUAUUCUUCAAUGUUUUCUUAAUUGGCGGAAUGACCUGAGAGACCCCUGUACUCGAUUCCGUUUGUCAGUUGAACCCUCAUACUCAUCAUUUUGCCAAUUAGACCCUUAAAUCGAUCAGAACACAACAUUUUAAGCCCUUUUCUCCUCCGGUCAGUGUGCGUGUAAUGGACGUGAUUACACGUGGAAUUCCACAUCAUUUUUUAGUGCCACGUACAAAAUUAAGUGCUAAAAAAAAUAAAAAAUCAAAUAGAUCAUUUACAAAUUCACAAUACCCAUUUAUUAUUUUUUAAGCUUUUUCAAGCUUAUCAAUGGAGUUUUAAAAUUUUCAAUAGUCAAAAUCAUCCUUCACAUUAUCCACAUCUCCUCGUUGAAACCAUCUAACAAAAUAAUGAUACUAAUAUUUUUCAAACCUAACAAAUGAAAAUUUUAGAAGAAGUUGAGGCUAUUGAUUUGUAUAAAAAAAAAAGAAGAAGAAGAGGCGGAGAAGAGUGAAUGUGGGGCUGGAGAAAGAAGAAAGUUGACGGCUGUGGUGAGGGGUAGAAGAGAGAGGGCUGGUGGAGAAGAAGAAAGUUGUGGGAUGGGUGGGUGAGUGGGUGAAGGAGGGUUGAAGAAGAUAGAUCUUAUUUUUUAAUUUUGUUAAAUUGAUUUUUUUAAAAGUAAAAUUUUGUUUUAACUCGCUUUCAAGCGCGUGUAAUCACACAUAUUUCUAACUCACCAAUAUUAAUGUCACAUAAGCUCGGUCAAUGGUCAAAGGAGUUUAAAAUAUUGUGUUCUGAUGCAAUUAAAGGUUUGGUUGGCAAAGUGAUGAGUAGGAGGAUUCAAUUGACAAACGGAGCCAAAUACAGGGGUCUCCCAGAUCAUUCUGCCUUCUUAAUUUAUAAAUGAGCUUCAAUAAAUUCAUACUACAACAAAGCGUACGUGCUUUUUCUAAUAAUGUUUUAUUAUUUAGCUUGCAAGACCUAAAUUAUUUGUCAAGAAUACUAAAAAUAUUCGCCACAAUUUAUAUUAUUUUUUCACAUUACUAAAGUUAUUCAUUUAUCAAUUUAUAGAAUCAAGAUAUAAUUAAUUAGUUAUUAUUAUUAUUAUUAUUUUUAUUUUGUCCUUAAAACUAAUUCUUUUAAAAGUGUAAAUCGUAUCGAUCACGUGCAUGAAUAUCGUAAAGUUUCAAAGGAAUUCCUCCAUUGUUUAGUUUUUUCAUGAAUACAUUUAGUCAGAAGAGAAUAUGAAUAAAAUUAGUAAAAAAUGUUAAUUCUUAUUUCUGAUUUCUUAAAUAGUUGGUAAAGAUAAAAUAGUCAAAGUAAUAUGAGAAAGUGGUCAAAGUAAUUUGAGAAAGUAAUCAAAGUAUUUAGAUUUUCAUAACUAAAUGUAGAACACAAUUUAUUUAAUAUGAGAAAAGAAGGAAAGUAGCAUUUAAAUUUCCAUGACUACAUUUAAAACAAAAUUUAAUGCUGGUAAAUUGAAUUAUGGUAACAAAAAUGAAGGAUAAGAAUGAGAGAAUUUUCUCCUUGUCUAUUUAAAGAGCUUCUAUUGAAACCUAAAUUAAAAUGGAUGAUUGUGUGGCUAAUUUUCUUGAAGAUAUAGUGAAGGAGAUUCUGUUGAGGUGUCCUGUAAAGUCGUUAUUGUGAUUCAAAUGUGUCCACAAGAACUGGUAUGCUCUAUUCAAAACCCCUAACUUCGUUCAACAACACUUGAACUGUAGCAAGAAUAAUCCCCCACAACUCCUGCUUUAUAAUACUGGUAACUAUGGUGAUCGUUAUGACUCUCGUUCCCUAACUUUGAUUUCUGAAGAAAAUCCCCAAACGUUUAAAGGUAUGGCAUACCUUUUAGGUUCUGUGAUCGACUUGUUUUUAAUGUUUGGAGUAAUUGAUCAUGUACAUUCGUGUGCAUUGUGGAAUCCUGCUACUAGGGAGGUGAGACUCCUCCAUCUCCCUCCACCAAUGAUCAAUGAUCGCCCUGUGUUCGGGUUAGGAGUAGACCUUUUGACUAAUGACUAUAAAGUGGUUUGCUAUUUGUGUGAAAAUUCAGCAGCGGUCUAUUCAUGUUCCAGGGACUCAUGGAGAAUUUUCAAACAUAGAAUCCCCUUCUUUACAGGCGUAAAACAAACAUUUGGUACUGCUUAUUCUAAUGGAGUUUAUUACUGGCUGCUAAGAGGCCAUCAUAGUUACUACACAGUUCUUUUAUUCGACUUUGGGAGUGAAAUGUUUGAGGGGAUUGAAGGGCCACAUAUUCAUACUUAUGUAUUUGGUUUGAUGUUGGUUGAUGAUUCUAUUGCCAUCUUGAGUUUGAACGACCUUAAUAUGUCUGAUUAUGCUAUAUGGGUAAUGAUCCAACCAGGGGUUUGGAGCAAACUUGUUACCUUUCAAUGCUUCCCAUUUAUUAAGUCUUGUUAUGAUAGCUCUCUCAUUUUGGCAACUAGAACUUCUCGACUGAUCUCCUAUAAUGUUCGAACUAACAAGUUGAAGGAUCUUGCAUUUCAACGUUCAGGCUUGGGAAAUCAUGCAAAAGCUAGUGGCUGUGGAGUAUUUUAUUAUAAUGAGAGUUUAGUCACAAUUAAACAACGAGAUGAUGGAGAAUUGGACCAUUAAUCGAGCUUCUGAACGAGUACAGAAGAUCAAAUGAUAUGCGACCUAAUCAUUUAUUUGUGAAGUAUAAGCAUGUUUACUUAAUGUUAUAACUCUAUUGUAUGCAUAAAGUGUUUGUAUUUGAGCUUAUAAGUAUGUAAAAUUACUUGAGCAAAUGAUAUAUAACACAUUUCAUUAAAGUUUUUUUCCUUUCAAGUUGAAGCAUAUAUAUUAUUAAUAAUGUCCAACUUGGUAUAAUUAAGGGUAUUUUACUCUAGUUUCAUUUAAAGCUUUGUGAAUAUAUCACCUAAUUUCUCUCUUGUCUUCAUAUAGCAAGUAGAAAUUAUGUUCUUGAAUCUUCUUAUGAAUAAAGUGAUAGUCAACCUCAUUCGUUAAUUGGAACAAGAGACAUUUCCUUCUUCUCUUCAUUAGUUGAUGGACUUGACUUUUUCUUUAGUCUGAUAGGUGUAAGCUCGAUCGAAAAUAAAAUUCUCUCACACGAAAUUCAAUCCCUAAUAUUCCUUGAAUAGGCAAGAUUUGUUUUAUAUACUGUAUGUAUACUAUUAUCUGUAUAGUGUCCAAUGAUCACAUUGGAUCUCAAUUUAUGUCGAGUAAAGCUCAUUGAAGAAGAGAAUGUACCCCUAUCAAUAUAUUUUUCAUAUCUAAUGGUCGAACUCAAAAUUUCUAUUACAAUUUUGUUCCUCCACUACAAUGUUGCUUUUUACUAUAUUAAUUAAAGACAUCUAUCAAUGUUUGUUUAUAGUACUAUCAAGACAAUGAUUUUUAUUCUUCAAUGUUGUCUUAAUUUAUACACGAGCUUCAACAAAUUCAUAUUACAAUAAAGCGUAUACACUUCUAAUAACUUUUUUUUUUUAUUUAGCUUGCACAAUCUAAAUUAUUUGUCAAGGUUACUAAAAAUAUUCGUCACAAUUUAUAUUAUCUUUUUCUUACUCCCUCCGUCCAAUAUUAUUUUUCCAGAUUACUAAAAAUAUUUAUUUAUCAAUUUGUAAAAUCAAGACAUAAAUAAUUAAAUAUUAUUUUUUCUAUUUUGCCCUUAAAAUUAGUUAUUUUUAAAUGUGUACACCGUAUUGAUCAAGUGCAUCACAUUGUGAAGUUUCAAAAGAAUUCCUCCAUUAUUAUUUUUUCCACGUAUGCAUUUAAAACCGAUUUGGAUUGACUUAAAAAAAAAAGUAGUUUUUAAGUCAAAAAAUAAAAAAGUCAAACUUAAAUGACAUUUAAGUCUAAAAAUAAAAAGUAGGGAUAGUCCUGCUUUUGUUUUUCUUAAAAACUUUUUAAAGUCAUUUUAAACUUAUUUAAAUUAUUUUUAACUUUGUCAACACUCCUAAAAUCUAAAAAUGAUUUAAACAUACGUUUGACCAACUUUUAAGUCAAUCCAAACAGACUCUUAGUAAAAAAAUACAUAUAUAGAUAAAACUAGUACAAAUAUUAAUUCUUAUUGAUGAUUUCUUAAACGACUGCUAAAGGGAAGUAGUCAAAGUGAUAUUAGAAAGUAGUCAAAGUAUUUGGAUUUUGGAACAUAAAAUUUAAAUUGAGUAAUAAGGAAAGUAGUAAAUAGAUUUCCAUACCUUAAUACAGAAUAAAAUUUAAUAUGAGAAAUGUAGUCAAAGUAUCAUUAGAAAGUAGUCAAAGUAAUUAGAUUUCCAUGAUUAAAUAUGGAACAAAAUUUAAAUUGAGUAAGAAGGAAAGUAGUAUUUAGAUUUCCAUGAUUAAAUUUGGAACAAAAUUUGAAUUGAGUAAGAAGGAAUGUAGUAUUAAUUAGAUUUCCAUGACUAAAUAGAGAAUAAAAUUUAAUAUGAGAAAUGUAGUCAAAGUAUUUUGGAUUUGCAUGACUAAAGGUAGUAUAACAUUUAAUGGUGGUAAAAUGAAUUAUGGUAAUAGAAAUGUAGGAUAAGAAUGGGGGAAUUUCUUUCUUGUCUAUUUAAAGAAGAAGCAAUAUUGCUUUUGUUGAAACCUCAAAAUGGAUGAUUGUGUGGUUUAUUUCCCUGAAGGUAUACAAAUGGAUAUUCUGUUGAGAUGUCCAGUGAAGUCAUUGUUGCGCUUCAAAUGUGUCAGCAAGAGCUGGUAUGCUCUUAUAAAAAACCCUAAAUUCGCUCAACAACACUUGAAGAAUGGAAGCCCCCCACAACUCCUCACCUAUACGGUUGGUACCUCUGAUGAUGCUGGUCAAGAUUCUCGUUCCAUCACUUUGAUUUCUGAAGAAAAUCCACAAACGUUCAAAGGUAUGACACACCUCAUAGGUUCUGUGGACGGCUUGUUUUUAAUGUACAAAACAAUUGAUACUGUGAUUUCGUGUGCAUUGUGGAAUCCUGCUACUAGAGAGGUGAGAUCCCUCCAUCUCCCACUCCCUGCACCCAUAAUAUAUGAUGUCCCUGUGUUGGGGUUCGGGUUGGACCCCUUGACUAAUGACUAUAAAGUUGUUUACUUUCAUUGCGAUUGUUGGCAUAAAUAUACAACAUCAAUCUAUUCCUGUUCUAGGGGCUCAUGGAGAAUUUUUAAACCUAAAGAAUCACUACCCUUCUACACAGACGUGAAAAACACAUUUGGUACUGCUUAUUUGAAUGGAGCGUAUUACUGGCUGCUAAGAGGGGGCAACCAUUGUAAUUACACCAUUCUUUCAUUCAAAUUUGGAAGUGAGAUGUUUGAAGAGAUCGAAGGGCCAGAUGGAAACGUUGUAUAUACUUUUGCGUUGGGUUUGAUGUUGAUUGAUGAUUCCAUUGCCAUCUUGAACUAUAACCCAUGUAGUAUGCUUGCUUAUGAUAUUUGGGCUUUGAUCCAACCAGGGGUCUGGAACAAAAUUGUGACCUUUCAACUCUUCACACCGAUUAAGUCUUUCUAUGAUAGCUAUCUCAUUUCGGUAGUUAAAGCUUCUCAACUGGUCUCUUAUAAUGUUCGGACUAAUAAGAUGAUGUAUCUUGGAUUUCAACAUUCGGGCUUGAGUAAACAUCCAACAUUUGGUGGUUGUGGGGUUACUUAUUAUAAGGAGAGCUUAGUAACAAUCAAACAACAAGAGGAUGGAGAGCCGGACCAUUAAUUGAGAUUUUAAACGAGUACAACAAAUAAUAUGUGACCUAAUCAUUUAAUUGUUUUAAGUAUGUAAUUGAACUUAUAUGUUCACACAAUUUCAUAGUACUUGGUUUUGGUCUUUCAAAAGCUGAUUAUAUGUGGCCUCAACUUGUUCUAUAGAAAGACUCUUCCUUUUGUGAUGCUUUAUAAAGUUUUGAUUUCAAAUUUAGUUUGAUUUUCUUAUUGUUACACUGAGUAUCCAGCAAAAUGAAAGUGGUGUAAAAGUAAUAUCCAUAGGGAGCAUUAUUAUUGCAAGUGUGAAGAACUCAAAUAUUCAUUGAUACAAGUUAUAUUUAAUACACAAACUAAUAUAGGCUAAUAUAUACAUGUUUGACAUAACCAUUAGAGUGAUGCAAUUGUAUUCAUUAACUUGUAUCAAUUGAUACAAUUGGUAAUCUUCUUGUUUUUCCUACGUAUUCAUUCGAAUAUUUGGCAGAAUACAAUUGAUACAACAAGAGAGCGAGAUAGAAAGGUGAGAGAGGGGGACAUAGGAGAGAGAUUUACGGUAAAACUUUAAUUAUAGUUAUAUUUGAUAAUAUUUUAAAACUAUAGCUAAAUAUAGUAGAUAUAGUAGUUAAAUUUGCUAGGUUAUGUGAAAAUUUCAUAUAUGCUACAAAUGUCGAAACCAAAAACUCCAAGAAUAAUUCAUCAUUAUCAAAAUAAUUUUCUUUCGGCUCGAAUCUUGAAUGUUGGUCUUUCUUCAACCAAUUUUUAACCCCAUUGGGCAGGGUCAUCCUUUUUUAUAAAAAUAAAAUAAAUUAAAAUGGGGUUCAACAUUGGCCCUACCUUGUUUUAUUUGAAAUAAUUACAAGAAAUAGGAACAUAAAACCGAAAACCUCCCUGAGUAAUACCAAAAAACUAGAAUAGAUUACAUAUAUAAAACUAGAGAGUAAAUUUGCACAUGAUAUGGUUAAGAAGGUUAACAAGUGAUCUUUUUAAAUUAAAAAUAUAUUUCUUUUUAUAAAUAUUUUGAUAAAGUUUUUCGUCAUAAGUUAAUUUGAACUAUCUAUCAGUCAAUUUUUUCGAUGGAUUGAAUUAAGCGGAUCAUGUUCUCAUGGGCUACAUAUAUCUCAACAAUCUUUUUGAGUUUCCAAGGAGGUUUUUGUUAAGAUCGAAAUAAUCAAGUGUUACGUAAAAACUAGCAAAACAAAUCUUUUCCUAUAAGAGAAAGAACUAGCUAAAUAUGAAAAAAUUGUGUUAGGAUGAUCAGCUUGCAUAUUCUUUGGCAAAAUGAAGUUCAAUAAUAAGCAGAAAGUCAUUUUGAGUACUGUUUAUGUAUUUCUCUUUUUCUCGUAAGUCCUAUGAAUAUGAACAUUAUUAAGAAACUUACUUUAUUGUAGAAGCCAUCAUUAUUUAUUAAAUAUAUUACCAUAACAACAUGCUAACCAUUCGAAUGUCUCUUUUUUUUUUCUUUCACUUUUUUUAUUAUUAUUAGGAUGUGUACAUUCCAUCAUUGUACCAAAAUAUUACUAUUAUGGUAUUAUUUGUUCGAAAGGAAUCAAAAGUAUAUUAUGAUAAUAGUUUGGAUUGGAGUAGGGCCGGCUCUAUGCUUAUAUGAAUAAGGCAUUGGCCUUAGGCCCCCAACUUUAGGGGGCCUCAAUUUUUUGUCAAUAAUAAAUUAUGUAUAUGUUAAUUUUUUUUAUAGAAAAGAUUAAUUAUUUAUGAUAAAAUAUGUUUUUUAAAAUAAAAAUUAUUAUUUUAUUCUCUUUAAUCUCAUUUAAAUAGAAGAAAUCAAGAAAAAAUGUUUUAUUUUCUUACACUCUCUACGCUAAUAUUUACAAUAUUUUAUUCUUUUAACUCCUUUUACGCUCCCUUUUUUAAUUUUUGAUAAGUUAGAGUAAUACUCUAUCAAAAAUAUGAAUCAAUAGUCGAAAUGUGUUGAGCAAAGUGAAUUGUAAUUUUUUUUUCUAUUUCUUCUUAGAUUUUCAACCAUUACAACAAGCAUAGUGAAAUGUGAGGUAUACAAAAUUAUCAUCUUCUUGAAUCAAAUUCUAUGUUAACAAUUCAUAUAAUAAUUGCCCGAGUAAGAAGAUGUUUUUCAACGUUGAAUUGAUAAAAUCUUAUCUGAAGCUAAUAAUUGAAAGAGAAAUCGAAUAAAUCAUUUAUAGAAAAAAUAUUAAGUAUACUUUGCAUUUAAAAAUGUAAGUUUUUAAAAAUAAUAAUAAUUAAUGCAUAUGAAGUUUAUUUAGAUUUUAGGCCUCUAGUUGAAAUUUCACUUUAGGCCUCUGAUUGCAUUGACCCGCACUCAUUGGUCCUCUUGACUAAUGACUAUAAAGUGAUUUACUUUCAUUGUUAAUCAUUUGUAUGAAUAUUAUGCAUCGGUUUAUUCAUGUUCUAGGGAUUCAUCAUGGAGAAUUUUCAAACCUAAAAUCCCCUUCUUUACCAAUGUAAACCAUGCAUUUGGUACUGCUUAUUCGAAUAGAGCAUAUUACUGGCUGCUAAUGGGAGUAACUACACCAUUCUUUAAUUUAUUCGAUUUUGGGAGUGAAAUGUUUAAAGAGAUUGAAGGAUCAGAUCGUCAAUCUGUUCAUACUCAUGUGUUGAUUGAUGAUUCCAUUGCCAUCUUGAACUUGAACCCACGUAAUAUGUUUACUUAUGAUAUAUAUAUAUAUAUAUAUAAAAUAAGGCCAUGCACUUAAUCGGAUUAAUUAACUUGUCCUCUUGACUUUCUUAACAUAAAUGGCCUACGUACAUACAAAUAAUAAUAUUUGACAAACAUCGAUCGAUCACUACAAGCAAGACUAUAUUAUUUUUGUAAUAUAAUUAAUUACGUUUUGGAAUCAAGAUGGCCGGCUUAAUACACAAGCCGUUAAUUAAGGCAAGUGUUUAGAUCCUAAAUUUUAUGGAGACCAAUUUUUCAAUAGCUACUAAAAGUAAAGUUAUAAUUAUAGAUCUUUUUACGUUUAAAAUUAUUGAACUAAGCUAAGAAUAAAAUAAAAUGUUCAUUGUAGUAGUUUCAUAUACUCAUCAAACUAUUCCAAGAAAUUAAACAUUAGUGUCCAAUAAAUUUGAGUUUAAUUAGCAAGUUAGACGAAAUGAUGAGAUUAUCCUUUAUCAUGUUGAGCUUCCAUUAAUUUCCUUUUACUUUAAAUAUAUACCUCUCAUACAUAUUUAACAUCAAUAUCAUGAUUUUGAAAUAUUUUUAUAUUUUUACUAAUUGAUAUGAAAUGCACAUGUGGUACACGAGAUGCAUAUAUGACAUGAUCAAAUGUUAAAGUAAACCGCUUUACAGAGUUAAAGUAAACUGCUUCAAGUAAAAACUCAAACUAAUGGCUAAUGCUCAAUUUACAGAGUUCUAAUGAAAAUUAGGUAGAACAUCUCGAUUGAUUUCAAAUUCUACUUAUACAAAUAAAGCUUUUAUCAUAAUUUAAUUAUUUUUUGAAAUAUUUCAUCAACAAUUAAAUUGUGUAAUUUAAAAUUUUCUUCAACUGCUUAAUUUUGAUCUAGCAUGAAAAUGUUGAGUUUUUAAAUGUACCAUCUUUAUUCAUAAUUGUAGAAGCCAUCAUUAUUCAUUAAAUGUACCACCAUAACAACAUGCUAACCAUUCGAAUGUUUUUUUCUCCUUCACUUUUUUUAUUAUUAUUACGAUGUGUGUACAUUCCAUCAUUGUACCAAAAUAUUAGUAUUAUGGUAUUAUUUGUUUGAAGGAAUCAAAACUCCUUUUAUAUUUAAAGUAUAAUAUGAUGAUAUAUAAUAUGACGUAAUAUGAUGAUGAUAUAAAUAAUAUGCUAUAAUAAUUAUUUAAUAUUUAAUUAAAUAUAUAUAUUUAAAGAUACAAAAUACAGAGUGGCAAUGACAGUAUCCAUCACUAUUUUUCUUAGGUGAUAGACAAAAGUACUAACUUUUUUCUUAUUCCCUUAGCAGCCACAAAAGUACUAAUAUUUUUCUUAUAUCCCUAGCAGCCACAAAAUACUAAACUUUUUUUCUUAGAACCCUCACGGGUGCUAGUAAAUAGGCGGGUUGGAUUAAAAUUGAGCGGAUUGAAAACAGGUUAAUAUAAAAUGAGUAAUAAUUAAAAAUGGAUUGAAUAACAAAUGGAUUUGGUAAAAUACAUGUUUGACACAUAUUUUCAUGUGUAAAUAGUGUUUUAAUUUUCUUUUUUUUUAAGAUGAAAAAUGUUGAAAAUAUUCAUUUAGUUUUAUGAUUAGUUUUAUUGUAUCAUAAACCUAAACCCGACACCCAAUGCGGCACCUGACCCCGACUCCCCAUUUGGGACCCGACUUCCUUCUCGGGAUUCCACUCCGACUUGGGAACCGACAUCCGAAUUGGGAUUCGACCUCGACACCUGAAUCGAGAUCCGACCCCAACAACCGACCCGGAACGAACUUCCAAAUCGGGAUUCAACUCCGGGACCCAAACUCGACACCUAAUUUGGGACCUGACCUCGACUCUGGACCCAAAAUCUGACUCCUGACUCGGAACCCGACAUUUGAACAGGGCUUAAUCCUGACUCCGACACUGACACCUGAUGACUGAUCCAGGACUCGAUCCUUAGCAGCCACAAAAGUACUACGUAAUUUCUUUCUUAUAACCCUGACCAUUACUCUCUAAUUUGUUGUAAGAUGCCAUCUGAUUUUGUAAAAGAAAUGUGUGCCUGUUACAUCCUUUCUAAGAAAAACUAUAUGGUAAAUUAAGAGUGUUAGAUUAUCAGAUAGAGAAUCACUUUAAUAUCAUCUUUUCUUGUUAUUUAACUAACGUACUAGAGUUUAAUAUAUGCCAAAAGUAGAUAACUUCAUUACUACUGAACUUUAGUUAUUAAAAUAUUCUGGUUUUCAUAUAAAAUUGUAAAGCUUUUAUGUGCAUAAUGGCAUUUCCAUUAUUGAGUCCAAUAAUGUAACUUAGUUUAUUCUCAGUACAUAUAUAAAUUGUUAUAAUGCAGCACAACUUAAGUCACAAGAAUAAUUUGAAGUAUUGUUCUUAGCCUUUAUUACUCGAAAGUUAUGGCGAGUCGUAGUUUGUUCCCCUGCCUUACUGUUUUGUUCUGUGUGAUGAGUAUUCUGGCUCCCUUUAGUGAUGGUCAGCUUGAUUAUAGUUACUAUGAGAGAGCAUGUCCGAGCUUGCAUAGGAUUGUUCGUUGGAAUGUUUGGGAAGCACUCCGUAGUGACUCAAGAAUAGCUGCAUCCCUCCUUCGUUUGCACUUCCAUGACUGUUUUGUUAAUGUAAGUAGUAAGUACAACAUCUUAUUUCAUUUGUUUGAUAAUCAUUUUCAUGAUCAAUUUAUGGUUAUGAUUUUGAUAGGGUUGUGAUGGAUCCGUGUUGCUUGAUGACACGUACUAUUUCAAGGGCGAGAAGAAUGCUGCACCAAACCGCAAUUCAGUCAGAGGAUAUGAGACGAUUGAUAUCAUAAAAGCACACGUUGAAAGAGCUUGCCCGUUAACUGUAUCUUGUGUGGAUAUAUUAACUCUUGCAGCUAGAGAAGUUGUUGUCAUGGUAAGUAACAGAUGAGUUGUUGUAAUGCUUGGAAAUGAUUAAACCAAAUACGAUAAAUUUUCCUUUCUUGCUUUACAGGCAGGAGGACCAUUUUGGCCUGUUUUACUUGGUCGACGAGAUGGACUAUCUGCCAAUGAGAAAGCAGCAAAUGAACAAUUACCUUCGCCAUUUGAGCCUCUGGAUAAAAUCGUGGCCAAGUUUUCCGAUAAAGGUCUUGAUCUAAGGGAUUUAGUAGUUCUUUCAGGUAUCUUUAGUAAAAUUCAUAAGUUUUCCUUAGUUUAGGCGUGGCCGUCCUGCAUUCUUCUUAAUGAAAGUUCUGACUCUGCAACUUAUACAGGAGCACACACAAUUGGUUUUGCUCAAUGUUUCACAUUCAAGGGGAGACUUUUCAACUAUCAAGACUCAGGAAAGCCAGAUCCAAAUCUCGAUUCUUCAAUGUUGUCGAAAUUGCAAUGCACUUGUCCUGACACGGAUGAAUCCAACACCACACUUACUCCUUUAGACAUACAAUCUGUUACGAGAUUUGACAAUGCGUAUUACAGAAACCUUAUGAACAACUCAGGACUACUUGAAUCAGAUCAAGCUCUAAUGUCAAAUUCUCAGACAGCUGAUAUGGUCAAAUCUUACAGCUUGUACCCUCAUCUUUUCUACAAAGAUUUUGCUGCAUCGAUGGUAAAAUUAGGAAAUGUUGGAGUCCUCACGGGACGAACUGGACAAAUUAGGGAAAUAUGUGGCUCUGUAAGUAAUAGAAUGUUUCUGUCAAGUAUGUUUAGUCUUAGUGUUAGACAAAGUUUAUCAACUGUGCUUGCUUCAGUAUGCAUGUUUUUACUAGUAAUAGUUUAACUCGACAUCAAAUGAUGUCGUACAAGUAGAGAUUUGUGGUUACUACUCAUUUCGGUCCAAAAUAAAUGAAUUAAGGACUGGUAAUUUGUUAAUAUCACCAUUUGCUUCUGAAAAAUUUAUUCGAUUUUGAUGUUUGACACUACGAUGAUGGCUAAUUUCCUGAAAAACCACGAGAGCGAUAACAAGAAGACUAAAUAGGGACACGUGACACAAUCUUAUUCGUCGGUCCGAUAUUUAAUAAAUGUCGGGUCGGUCGAUACGAUUAUGAUAUGUGUAUAUCCGUUAGUAUAAAGGGUAUAUAUGCUCUAGUUUUUGGACAGCAGGAGCAUCGAUAUCCCAAAAGUAUGACGGAGGGUGUCUGCAUACCAUUUACAAUAGUUCGGAUAUAUUAGUCCUUUUUCCCUUUUAUUUAAUACUAGUUUCUGGGUACGCGCGCCGCGCGUGUAGCCAAGUUUACCAAUUACUAUAAGUUUAUAGUAUAUGCCAAUUGUGCUCCAUGUAAGUCCUUAGAUAUCUUAUUAUAAUGUUUGACUUGUAAAUGUUAAGUAUUUAUAGAAUUUAUGUUGCAGUAAAAAGUAUAAAUGAUGGUGGAUAUAGGAAGAUUUUUUACCAAUUAGUGUUACACAUAUAAUUGUUAGAGUAAGAGUGUUUGUUUGAAAAUUAAAAUAGUUAUCUAAUUCUAUAUGGAUCAUUGAUAAUGAACUUUAUACUUUUAGAUCUCUUUAUUAUUAAUUAAAAGAGGCAAUAUAUUAAUUCAUGAGAUAAUGAACUAAUUAUAAAUGUAUGUAUAGUCAUUCAACAUAUUUGCCAAAUAUUUCAUAUUAUCCAUGUAAAACAAUCUGGCAUAUAAUAAAAUAUCUAAUCUUUCAUUGAGAUAAUUUUUAAUUUCAUUUGGAAAUAAGAAAUAUAAUAUUGUACAUGUUCCACGCCAAUAAUUAUAUAAAAUCUAAUAAGUAAUAUCUAUUUACUUGUAAUCUAGACACAAAUUUCUUUAUAUAAGCAAAGAACAUAUUUAACUAAAAAGGAAUAAGAAAAUAAUACAUUAUAAAAGAACAUUUAAAACUAAUACAAAAAUCACUUACAAAAAAUGGUCAUCACUAUAAGCACUUUACAUAAAAUAGUACAAAUAAUUCAUUAUUUUGUUGUAAUUCAUACAACAUGAUUAAAAAAAUAUUGUUUUCUGCCAAACAUUCUUUACAAUUAAUUAUCAAUCAACCAUAGCGCUUAUGAUCCAAAUACAACAAUAAUGCUAUUGCCCUUAACAUUUCUACAAAGAAUGAUGCCAACUUUUCUUUUGCGGUUUAUGACUAUGACCAGAAAGGAUACCAAAAAAGAAGAAAGAAAUGAUAUACCAAAGAUGAGAAAAUAGAUCUUAAUUUAUAAGAGAGUAUUGCCAUUAACAUACUUUAAUAAGAAGAUCAAACAUGAGAUUUGUAAAUUCAUUUCCCUUUCUAGGUGACUUUAGAUAGGAAAAACUUAGGUGAGGGGAGAUGAAAGGAAAAAAAUAAAAGAGGUCCAUCAGUUUCCUACGUAAUUAUGUAAUGUUUGGUCUUCACCUUAAUUCAUUGAACAAUUUAAUUAGAAGUCUUUUUGUCUUCUUGAUAAUAAUUACUUAUAACAAUUUAAUAUUAAUUCACCAUACAACAUGAAUAAAUUGUAAUCGAAAGAAUUUGAUAAAUUUGAUAUUGGCUUAAUGUGUAACUCUCCCUUGUAUUAAUUAAAAUUUACUAUUUAAUAUUUAAUUAAAAAUUUAUUAGAUAAUUAAUAGUAUUUGUAUUUGAUAUAGGGACAAAAUGGUAAUUUAACUUUUGCCUAACAUUCUUCCCACUUUUAGUAUAAAUAUGAAAUAUGAUAAUAUAAUAAUAAUAUAUAAUAUGAUAUAUGAUAUGAUGAUUAGAUUAUAGUAUACAUAUAGAUUAUAGAUGAUAAAUAUUACUCUUAAAUUAGAUAUUUAAUUAGGAAUUAAUCUAAGGAAGUGCAAAAAUCGUUAACAUUUUUAUUAAAAUGAUACAAUUUAAUAUUUGAAUUAAAUAGUUAAAUGUUUUUAUAACAUUUUAAUUUAUAGUAGGGGUAAAAUUGCAAUUCAAAUUUUAGCUUUUUUUGUUCCCACUUAUAGUAAUACUAGUCUCUAGACACGUGCAUUGCAUGUGUGUCCUGUGUUAAUUAGUACAAAAAAAUUAAAUGAUAUAGAUGCUACUAAAACUUGCAAGUAAUUUUGAGCAACUAAAUUGUGAAAGAGAAGUAUAAUUGUUUGUAGUUAUACACAAUCUAUUGAAUUGGUAUAUGUGAUAUUUUUCUUAUAUAGUUCUAAUAUAUCUUAUACUUAGUACAACAUGUCCCUUAUUGUUUUUUUAAUAUUUCAACAACAAAUAGUUUAUAUGUGACAUAAGUAACGUUGAUUAUGGUUUGCAAGUGUUUCACACAUCUUAAAGUUUGUAUCUUGUGUAAGAAACUGUAACCUCCUUUUUAUAGACACAUGCAUAUCAAAAAUUUUCUGGGGUGUUACAGUUUUAGUCUUGUUGGAUCAUUUGAUUUUAAUUUUAGUUUGUAACGGUAGGCUAGCUUUUGCAAGUUUCUAAAGGUCUGUAAUUUGAUUAACAUUAAAAAAUUUCAUAAUAUGUUUUGACAAUGACAUGUAAUUUUAGCUUUCGUACUACAUUUGCUCUUAUUGAUACAAUUUCUCAUCAUCUUUCUUGUUUCACUAUAUCAAAGUAGUUAGAGAAGUGAGAAAUCAUAUAUUAUUUUAGGAAUAUUUUCUUAUUGAAUAAAUUAAAACCAAACCGAUAACGAUCAAAAAUCAAUAAACCGAAAACUAAUAAAAAAUAUCUUAUUAAUUUGUUAUUAGAUUAGCAUAUUUAAAAACCGAAAACCAAGAACUCAACUGCAUUCAGUUUCAAGUCGAUUACUCAGAUAGUUACUGAUAUAUGAGUAAAUUUAGUAAAAUGUAAUACAAAUCAUUUGAUUAUAACAGCUCAAAGAAACACAUCAACAGUUGAGGACAAUUUUCAUAUCAGUGACAACUUCUGCAAUUAUAUUGUGAAAUGCAACUUGUAUAGGAAAAUGGAGGAAAGCAAAAUCUAAGUCGAAGGAACAAAAUUUUAGGCCAUCCCAGAGGUAACCAAAACUGCUUCGAACAUUCAAGAACCAUUUCCCUGACGAGAUGAUCUGUGGUGCCGCUCUUUUUUGAAACGCAAUUGCUCUGGAUCAAACCCGCCUUCCUCAGCUCCAUAGACAGCCCAAGAUGGUGUUGGUGUCAUGUAAUCUUUACUUGUAAAGGGCCUUCCAGAAGCUACCUGUAGCGCCAUAUGUGUAAAAAACAUUGAUUACGCUAUUGGAAAAGGAAUGGUAUAGUUAUAAUUUACUUAACUGAACUCUUACGCACUGAAUUUUGAAAUCAAAUCAACUAGUAGAAGAGAAGAGGGAGGGGAAAGGAAAAAAGUGAGGGGGAGAACUUACGUUCCACAAUAAGUGACACCUUUGAUUUCAAUGAAAUCGGGUUUUCCAAUGCUGAAUAGGCUAGAAUAUGCAUCCACAUCUUCUGUGUUCCACCCUUUAACGAGUGUCAAACGAUAGACAGUUCUUUGCUCCUUCUCCUUGAGAGCUCUCAAGGAAAUCCUAAUGAAAUCAGAAAUAACACAAACCAAUAGUGAGCAGUCUGAAUGGAAGAAAACAAACAUGAAAAAACAGAGAAAAUAUGGCAAAUUUUGAUUUUGUUUCCUGUGGCCGAUGAAUCUUUUUUAGCACUGAUGUAAAAGUAAACAUUUAAAACUUUCCUCUCACUGCUAUAUCACAAAAACAGCAGUUUGAGACACGCUGCUAUAAUUCACUAGUUUACAGCUGACAACUCUAACAGCAGUUUGAGAUUACGCUAUUUUAAUUUUUUUGAUUGAAUCUGACAAAUAUCUUUAUAUUCAAGACACUUAGAAGAAAUCGCUCCCAGAAGUCUCCAAAUAGUGGUCUGUCAAUUGCUUUUAAGCUGUCCUUUGUACCAGCAUCUACGCUGACAUACAACUAUACAUUUAAAGAUGAAGCGAGAAUUAGAUAUGGAAUUUGGAUAUUGACAUACUUAAAAGAUUGAUAAAGAAAGACGAAUACAGCCUAGUAAAAUCAAUUUCUCAGACAAACGCUCAGCUUUAACACCUGCAAGGGUGAGAUAUUCUGGUCAAUAACCACUACAAGCAAGAAAGUGGAAGGACAUCUAUUUUUUUUUUUUAAUAAAGAAAAUGCAUAUGUAAGGUGGAAAGGACAUCAAUUUUAUCCAGACAGAUUAAAAAAAUUGUGAAAAUUCUGUAUCCACUUCUACAUUUCAUGUCCUUAAGGAGUAGAGUAAGUAGGGAAGAUGCGGAAUGGAGAACCAACAGUUAGCAGUAUCAGUUUUACCAUUUUUUAUUCGGAAAUCGGAAGGACCUUGCAUCAAAAUUAAACACAACUCAACCCAAGGUGCUGGACACAACAAAAUGACCAAACAGAGACAUGUUGAAUACAAUCACCAAAUGAUUUCAAUCAAGCACAUUAUUUCUCAUGUGGCAUUGCUAAACUUCCCUACAAGUUCACACGGAAACAUAUAUGUUCAUGUGUACCAGAAAACAAACCUGGAACGCCUUUCAUCAGUUUUAUCAUUUUGGUAUGCAAAUCUAUAGCUGUGUUCACAAUCUCAAUAGGAUCAUCCAUCUUCCACGUCCAGCUCUUCCCAACAGGAUUUGUGUGAUGUCUCCAACAAAAAACACAUUUGUUUGCACAUGCUAAACUAGGAGUGGCCUCCAUGCACCUAUGCAGUGGGUAAAUGCAAAUUCAGCUUUAAAAUCAGCAUACAAGGCUAGGAAGUCAAUAAAUACCAAGUUGACAUCGUAGACUCCUCACCCCAACGCUAUCUUCCCUGACAGUAAAUCAAAUGAUAGUGCAUAGGUUCUCUUCGAUGCAGCAGGAUACGAGACGACGUGACAUACUACAAUCACGUACAAAAGUGUUAUCCUUCGUCUCGACAAUACGAAACCUCUCAACAACUCUCGUUCUUUUAUGGGAUUCUAUCGGGAUAGGUAGGCCCAAGCCUUUUCCCUCCCCAUUCCCUCUAUAAGACCCUCUUUCUCUUAUCCUCUCGAGAAAGAAGAUAAGAAAGGAUUUAUUUUUUCUUUCAUUUGAACGGGGUGAUUACACGACAUGACACAUUUACAGAUGCAACUUUGUAAUGACAUAAUCAUAAAGCUAUCUGGAAGUCGAGGAUUAGAGUAGACGAUUAGUAGGCGAUGAUCAACAUUGUUUGAUUUCCUUAUUAGUGUCAUUCUUCUUCUUCUUCUUCUUCUUCUUCUUUUUCUUAUUAUUAUUUGAUUUUAUUAUUACAAGUUGUUUUUUUUGUUUCAAUUGUCAUGUUACUUGUUGCCGCUAUUAUUCUUCUCUCUGCUAUAUUAUACAGGACUUCUUCACUACUAAUUUAUCUUCCUACUGAUAUUGAUAUGGUUUACUUGAAUCGAUUGCCUUAUUGGAUACCAUCUCUCUUCAUUUCAUAACGUAUAACCUCUAUACCUUUAUUAUAAUACAAAGGUAAGUUUGUAACUUGCGCAUACUCCAUUCUUUCUAGACUUCAUUUAUAGAAUUACACUAAUACGUAAAUUCCCUCAAUAAACCUAUAAUUUUGUUAAAUAUGUUAUAUAUAUGUGAAAAAUAUUACUAGUACUUAUGUUUUGACAAAUUUAAAGUACCAAAAUUGUCCGGUUAGGGUUUAAGGAAAAUAAAUUAUUCAAUUCACACUACACCAAAUUUGGUCUAAGGGCACAUCAACUGCAGACAACGUUUAAAAAGUGUUGCCAAAAAUACCUAAGGGAAGUAGGGAAUGCUUUCAAGGCGUGACUUUUGUGUAGGGUUUUUGGCAACACUUUUAAAGUGUGCUCUUUGUAAUUAUUAGUUACACGUUCUAAGCGUUGUCAAAUCGAAAAAUAAUUGACAACGCUUAUUUAUAUAUAUGACAACACUUUUAAGUGUGCUAUAUUUAAAAAUCUAAAAACAACACUUUACAAGUGUGCCCUAUUAAAAUUUUGGCUAAAAUAUUAAUAGUCCCUGUUGACACCUAAUUUUGACCGACCUUUAAAUCUUUUGUGAAAUGCUAUUUGAUUAAAUACAUAUUUUCAAAAUAUAUUUCAAAUUUAAAAUUUUAGUCGAUUUUGUCUAAAAUUAGAUAUUUUAGUACGCAUGCUUUAUAAAAAUUAUUGUAAAUAUUAUUAAAUUAUUCACUUAAAUUAUUUUUAUCGACAUUUAAACUCGAAAUAAUAAUUUUAUUCAAAUGUUUAAAAUUCAAGUGAUUUUAAUUAUAUAAAAAUAUUAUAAUAUUUGUAGUAUCUUAAUUGGAUAGCAUUUCUUUAAAUUUUCUCUAAAUCAUUUAAAGUUUAACCUAUUUUAUUAUAAUUUCUUUCAAUUCUAGCCUAUUCAAUUCUAUUUGUAUUUCAUUUAUAGCCACCCUUUCAUUUUAAUUCUAGCCAAUUUCAUUUCAAUUUUGGCCAUUUCCAACUCUCAUAUCAUCCGUCCAUUCCUUUAAAUUAAAUCCUAGCCGCUCAUCUAAACUAAUCCUACGGUUCAAAUCGAAUCAUCAAAUCCUUCCUUAUUUCAAUACUAAAAUCCCCUCCACACCAGCGCCGCCCCACCCUUACUCCUCUCCAUUUUGCUCCGGCAAGAGCAGCUGCCAGACCGCCGCCCAGCCUCCACCCCUCUCUCCCGUUCUCCUCCCUUUUCCGGCUCUCUUUCCCCGUCGCUCCCAUUCUCUCUCUCUCUCCUCCUUGCUCCCUCUCGUCUCUCCAGUGAACGGCAGCGGCACCCAGCUGCUCCGACAAUCACCGGCGAGCUCCGGACAGCAGCAGCUCGGGCGAAGGCGAACAACUGGCGAGAUCUUUCUCUCCCCCUCGUCUCAGCUCCUCCAUUCUCCAGCGAGCAAAGCAGUAGCAGCAACGAAACGAACCAGCAGCGAGCAGCGAGCAGCUCCGACUAAGCGAGAAGCUCCGGCGAGGCUCCAGAUUCUGGAAUUUUGCACAAGACGGGUUUCGACAGAUCAGUCCAGGUUUGUCUUUGUUUAAUUAUUAUUUGUCUUCUAAAAAUAGCUUAAAUUUGACUAUGAUUUUCUGCUAUAUUUUAUGAAUGUGUACUCAAAAUCGAUAAUAGUUGUGAACCUUGUUUAAGCAAGAAUCUUGUGUGACGCAUGAACAAUUGAGAUUUUUUUUUUUUUUUAAUUCAUGUGCGUGUUAUCAUAAUAUAUGUGGCGUGUUUAAAUUAGAUUCAGGUUAGUUCAUGGCUUUGCUAUCGAUUUUUUUUUUAUCAUCAUGCUUAAAUACCUUUGAAUUGAUUAUGUUUAUUCAUGAUGUGAACUUGAUUAUGUUCGUGAUUAUGAACUAUUUUGGCUCGAGUCUGAUUCUGGGAAUAAUCAAUAUAUUGCUUAUAUGAUUUCAGAUUCUUAACAGUUGGUAUUUAAUUACUUAUGGUAAUUUUAGUAUGCUAAUUGAUUCUCAUUAUUAAUUUAGGAAGAUUGUUACUUGGUACUUAUCUUAUUAGUGAGCGAAUUCCCUCUUUUCUCCAAUCAUUGGUGCUGCCUUCCUUUUGAAAAUGAUCUAAGUGAGUUUUACAUUGUUGGGGGUACUUUCGAUUUAAUCUUUGCUUCACCAUUUUUGUAUAAGUUGAAGCUUUGACACUAAACCCAUCAGCUUUCUUCCCCAAUAUAUCCCUCCAAAAACCCUAUCUGUAAAACCCAGAAGGCAAUUGCAAUCUCUCAACAAGGAGAACUCGGUAAGGGUUCGACUCGUUUUUUGUCUUUUUUUUCUUUCAUCAAAUCUCUAUAUUAAGCCCAGAAUCUGUAUCCUGUGUCAUUUUUCAAACCAAAUUGAUUUUACAUUUUAUAAAAAAAAUAUUUUUUUCAUCCAUGUUGGAUAUAGAUAUAUCUAUUUAAUGUCUAUUGUAUAAAUCGAAUGGGUAGGUUGAGAAUUGGGAUGCUUUGUUACUGAUUGGAGGAAUAAUUGGGGCUUGCUCAAGUGGUUGAGCACCUUCACCAUUGGUAAUUGAGAGUUUGAAUUACUUGGGUGAGUAAGUGAGAAUACUAUUGAUCCUCCGUCGGUGGGGUGGGAAAAAAAAUCAGUAAUCAUGUAAUAGAGAUGUUUAUGACCCAUAACUUUGCUGUGGAAAGUAAUGUCUUUGCUGUGAUUCUUUUGGUGUUGUAGAGGAAUAAUAUUUCUUUAAUCUCGUGCAGUUUUUUCUCUAAUUCAAUGGAGCUAGAGGAUAGCGUUUUAAAUUUCUCUGAUGAAGACGAGAGCUUUGAGGAUGAUGAAGAUGUUAAAAUGAAUGAUAUUGAGGAAGGAGAACUGGUUGAGAAGAUUUCCAAGACUGGAUUAGAGGAAACUGGUGGUGCAUGUGCCAGCUCUGAAAAUCCUCUUCCAGGCAAAAAAAAUCGGAGACGCAGGAAGAACAAGGGGAAGAACAAACGAAAGAGAGUCUCUUCAGGUCCAAUCACAGACAUUAACAGGUUUGUUAUGCUAAUCAUAGUUGUUAUAUUAUGAUGCGUACUACUUUUAUUUCCAUAGUGAAAGUGUUAUUGUGCAUGGACUAGGGGCAUACAGUUGGAUAUACUCCCUCCGUCCCUAUUUAGUUGUCCAUAUUUCCUUUUUUAGUUGUCCCUAUUUAGUUGUCUAUUUUGACAAAUCAAGAAAGGACAACAAAUUUUUUCCUAUUAUACCCUUAUUUACACUUCUUGAAAAUUUCUAAAAGUGUAUGUUGUUUCCCUCCAAUUUAUUUCACUUGAAUUCAAAGAGGUGGUUGUAAUUUUGAAGUGAAAAGUUGUCAUAAGGGUAAAAUUGUAACUUCACUGUGCUAAUCAUUGUUGCCUUAAUCUGUGUGCCAUUUCUAAAGUGGACAACUAAAAAGGGACGGAGGGAGUAAUUAACAAGAUGAUUGCCUUAGAGUAAUCAAGGGAAGAUAGUUGUCUUGGAUACCAUAUGACUGAUGCAUAGGUUUAUUUGCUUUGUUACCCGGUUAAUAUUCGUUCCUUUGGUUUGGGAAGUGAACUCAUGGAAUUUUAUAUUGCCAUCUACCACUCUGUUGCUGUUGUGUCAAAGGUUAACACUUUGGUCUAAGUUGCUUCAGUUUGUAUACCCUUGUCUGUUACACGAAUUUGCAUCUUUUUCUUUGUAGUAUUAAGGCUCUGAAUUUUCUGUCUUUGAAUUUUUUACUUUAGAUUUGUUUUGGAUGUCGGAAGACGCUUGAAAGAGAGGAAAUCUUAUCUUAUAUGGAAUGCAGUUGGUUGUCUCGGCCUAUCUGCUUUGAGUGAUCUUGUCAAAGAGGUAUGCCUUUUGUUCUACACGCUUGUUUUCUUGAAUGAUGAUUUUUGCUUGUCAAUUUCGUUGAUGGUUUUACUGAUAAACUUAAUUUUGCAUUUAGAAAAUAGUGCCUAGCAUAAUCCAAUGUGGGACUUUUCGGGGUGAUCCGGAUUUUAAUUUGAAGGCUGUGAUUAGUCCAAAGGGCGAGUCACAGACAGAUUUCUCGGUUAUCAAAAUAAAAUAAAAUAGUGCUAGCAUAUCUUCAACAAAUUGCCCCACCCCUCCCCAAAUAAAGUUAAUAAAUAAGUUCAUCUUUUUGUCACACAAACCCACAAAUUCGGAUUUUUGAGUUGGUAAGGUCUAACGGAUGACAAAUCAAGUUCACUUUGUAAAGCUACCCUUAUCUAAAAAAUAACAAAUCAAGUUCACUCUUUUGUUUGGAGUAAUACUUGGGUUUUUUUUCAAUGCAAAUGAUUUUUACUGUUUUAGAAGGCAUUGCAUUCUCGAUGGGAAGCGUGAAAUUUAAACCAAAUACCCUUAUUAGCCUCAAAAACACUUACCAUCACCUAGUUCAUAUUCGCUAAAGCUUAUGGGCCUCCUAUCUCCAUGUUGGUGCCAAUAACGGUGGUCUUUUCAUUAUUGUUUCUUGCUACCAGAGAUUGGGCAUUCUAGAAUUAUUUUACCCCUUGGUCUUGGCUAGAUUGAGAAUUAUCAGUGAUUGCUAAGAGGUAAAGGAUGGGCCUAGCUCUUAACACGAUUUAUUUAAGGUCUAAUGUUUUUUGUAGUUUCUGAUGCUCAAUGUUGUAAUACACUCACAGAUGCCUCCCGGUGAAGCCAUUUUCACUCCUUUCAGUCUCAUGGACCUUUCUUCCAAGAUAGCUUCUGGCGGAACUACUUUGUGGUGUCUAUUUGGAUUGAUUUCAAUGUUUUUGCCUGUCCUUGUUGUUUUACCUCAUGGUAUGCACAUAGCAAUAUAUGCUGAAAAUUUGCAUCUUUUUCCUCUUUCUUUUUUUGCCUUAUGCUUUUUUUCUUAUGGGAGUCAGAGGGUUGAUGGAAAAGUGGAGAAAGUAUUUUAGAAAGUAAGUGGGAACAACGGCUGAAGCAUUAGGUGUAAAUUUUUUCAUAUGUGGGAUCUUCUAAUUCCUAUUUGUCCCGUUAUGCCAAACAACUCUAUCAAUAAGAGCUCCUAGUUUAAGUAGUGAAAAUUGUUUGUGUAUUAAUUUGACAAAUAAUGGGCAUUUUGUGUUUUCCCCAAAUUAGCUAGAACCUCUUGCUUGCUGCCUCUCCUCUUCCCUCUUUUUUUCCCUUCUCCUCGAGGGAGAUCUUGCUUGCUGGAACCCAAUUUAUAUGAUUUUUGAGUUCUCCAAUUAUGAGUCAGUUGAUGAUGAUGUUGUAAACUUUACAGGUGGAUGCAAUUCAGACUUGUGGCGGCCAGAAGACUGCUGAUGGCAGGCGUUUCCGAACAGGUGGUGGAAUAUUGUGGAGCAUCCUUAAAGUACGAGAUCCAAAUGCAUACAAAGAGAUAAUGAAGAAAGGGAAGGAGUUUGAGGUGGGUCAUAAUUCUUUACGCUUUAUUUAGUACUUAUUUAUCCCUAGUGCAUGUGGCAGUUUUAUUGCCCAACCUGGAAACUAGGUAGUCAACAUCAUUGAUUACGGAUUUUCCAUUAUCAAGAUCAGUAAACAUGAAUAUUUUUGACAAUGCUGAAGGUUUUUGUUCUAUCUCAAACAAACGGAUAAAAAUAAAGUGGGUAACCUUAAAGAAAGGAAAGAACCUUUAGUAAAGGCCUUAUGGAGGUGCUUUUACAUAUAGUUUAUUAUGACUGCACUCUGCAGUAUUCAUUGCGAGACAAAUAGAAUGCAAUUACCGAUGCAUCUCUUCUCAUUGCUCCAUUGAAAUGCCCUCAAUUUCACGCUGCCUAUUUGGAUAUGUUAAAAUUUUGAAUUUUAAGUGAUUAUCUAUAUUGUGGAUCACUUCCUUGAAUAAAAUACAUAUUAUUGGGAAAAAUCCUCCUGCCCUUGGGUCAGCCAAUGGUCAUUUCCUGUUGCUGAGGACAAUACUUACCUCGCCCAUAAAAAAAUGUGAAUCUCUGUUUGCUGAUUGCUAUAUUUCUUAAGACAAAUGAUUUUUCCAGAUUAGUAUGCUGUGUUUUCUAAACAAUUGCAUUCAUAAUUUGAACUGCUGAUCUGCUAGUUACUUAUUGUCCUAUUGUGCGUCCCUAUAUUCCAGUGCUCAUUAAGAACAUAAUUUUGCAGAAGCAGUUUAAGCAGGCUAAUCUCAAGCAAGAACCGCUCCAAAACAAAGAAGCUUCUUUGGAGAGAUCUAGUCAGACAAUGGGAGACGAGAUUACAGCUAGUUCUUCAGAUGUUUUGCUGCAGCAAGAACCUGUUGAACAGUCAAAUAGUGGAGCCAAACGUGCAUCUGUUCAUGACAGAAUAAGGAUGCCUGUCACGUAUGAUGAUCUAUUUGAUGAAGCAACUGAUGAAGGAAAGGAUUCAAAGGAUCCUUUAGCUUUAAUAAUGCCUUCAGAAAAAAGCUCAUAUGAUGUGGUGGAGGGAGGUUAUACCAAGGGUAUAUAAAGUUUGCGCGAGUUACAAAUUACAAUCAGAUAAGACUAGGGGAUUUAAGAAAUGAAUCAACUUGAUUUUUUUGAUAAAGCCUCGUAUUACAGCUUGUCAAGUUGAAUUUCAUUUGUGAACACCGUGGGCAUUGUCUGCCCUUUCAUUUUGCUCAUCAUCUUAUUCUCAGUAAAUACAUAUAUGUUCGCAGCGGACAAAAGUUUUCCCAGAUCUGAUUAAAAUUUUACGAUCUUUUUCAGGAUAGAAGAGAAGCAAAUCAUAUUGCUUGCUAGCCUAUAGAUGGAUUGUGUUUUGUCUGUAAAUUCUUUUGAAUGAAACUAAGCCAAAUCAUGGCAAUAGUUAUGAAGUUUUACAUGGUGCCUAGAGCUCAAUUCUUUUGUGAUUUUACCAUCAGAUUUGUGAUUAACAACACAACAAAAUUAUUCAUGACAUAAUACACUUGACCGGUUAAAAAGAUGAAAAAAUUACAUAAAUAUACAACUUAAGAUGUCAUAAUCUCUGAAAUUCCUUACCAAAUAAAUGGUUUUCUUACUUAUAUGGAUUUAGGGAAGGAAAGGGGCAGGGGAAUUAAUGAGUAUAAAAAUAUGUGGAGAGAUGGAAAAUAAUACAAGUAAAUGACUACUAUGUUAUUUGGAAAAAAUAAUAACUCUUUCCUUUUUUUUUAAGUGGAUAUUUAUUUUUAGUAUAUAGAGGUUAAUAAAAUGUUUUUUUUUAAAAAAAUAUAAAGGCCCAUAAAAUUUAAGGAAGCAAAAUUGCUUCUGUUGGAUCCAAUUUCUUGGCUUUCCCCAAUCAUAGUUUGAUGGAUGAUUGUGUAGCUAUUUUUCCUGAGGAUAUAGUGAAGGAUAUUUUGCUGAGGUGUCUUGUCAAGUCGUUGUUACGAUUCAAAUAUGCCUGUAGACGCUCUUAUCAAAACCCCUAAAUUCAUUCAACUACACUUAGAAGAAGAAUCAUUGCCCCCUACAACUCCUAAUUUAUGAUAAUGGUGACAUUGAUGAUGAUUCCUGUCCCAUGACUUUGAUUUCUAAAGAAAAAUCCCAAACGUUCCUAGGUAUGAAAUACCUCAUAGGUUAUGUGGACGGCUUGUUCUUAAUGUACAGAGAAAUUAAUAGAGCCAUUUCGUGUGCGUUGUGGAAUCCUGCUACUAGGGAGGUGAGACCCCUCCAUCUCCCUGCACCCAUAAUCAAUGAUUCCCCUAACUUCGGUUUGGGAAUAGACCCCUUGACUAAUGACUAUAAAGUGGUUUAGUUUCUUGACUAUGCAACAACAGUCUAUUCCUGUCGUAGGGACUCAUGGAGAAUUUCAAAAAAUUGAAGGUUUCGACAAACCACCCCCAUUUGACAAAGAGGUGAGACACACAUAUGGUACUGCUUAUUUGAAUGUAGUUUAUUACUGGCCGCUAAGUUAGCAACCAAUAAUAAGCUCCAUUUAAAUAAGCAGUACCAAAUGUAUGGUUCACGUCUGUAAAGAAGGGGAUUUCAGGUUUGAAAAUUCCCCAUGACUCCCUAGAACAUGAAUAAACCGAUGCAUAAUAUUCACACAAAUAAUUAAUAUGAAAGUAAACCACUCUAUAAUCAUUAGUUGAGAGGUCCAAUCCAAACCCAAACACAGGGGCAUCAUGGAUUGUGGCUACAUGGAUAGGGAGAUGGAGGGGUUUCACCUCCGUAGUUGCAAGGAUUCGAUAAUGCACAUGAAACAUCAUAAUCAAUUGCUCCAACCAUAAAAAACAAGCCGUCCACAGAACCUAAGAGAUGUUUCAUACCUAUGAACGUUUGUGAUUUUUCUUCAGAAAUCAAAGUUAUGGAACGGAAAUCAUCAUGACUUCCGGCUUAUUAUUGAAAUUCAUUUUUCACCGAAAAAUCUGUAAGCUGAUUUUCCUAACACAAUUUUUUUCAUAUUUAUAGCUAGCUAGUCCUUUCUCUUAAUAAAAAAAUAUUUUAUCUGGAUAUGAGAGAAACAAGAGAAAUUAAUCCGAUUUCCAACACAAACAUUGAUAUAUAUAUAUAUAUAUAUAUAUUACUAAUAUUUCAUUUUUAUUUAAAACAUAUAACUUNNNNNNNNNNNNNNNNNNNNNNNNNNNNNNNNNNNNNNNNNNNNNNNNNNNNNNNNNNNNNNNNNNNNNNNNNNNNNNNNNNNNNNNNNNNNNNNNNNNNAACCUAGAAUACACACAACAAAGUGAUAACAUAUUAACUAAGGAGAGAUUAAGUAAUUAGAAGAGGAUGAGAUACAAGACCAUAGAAGGGGAUGAGAGAUACCAGAUAGCCAACAUAAUAAUUUUCAUAAUUGUUCUUCUAACUCCAUGUCCUUUUCAACAAAUGGUAAUUCAAUCUCGAUCCCAAAUAAAACUCUCAAAAAAUUUACUCUCGAUCCAAUAUUUAUAACGGAGUUAGCUUGAUUCACAACAUACUGUAUUUUCAAAACAAGGAGAGGAUUGUAUACAAUAUCAAGGUCUCCACAUUCGGCAACCAUUGCUGAAAGGGGUAUGAGGGACAGGAUGGGAAUAUAGCCCAAAAAGAGGUGGAAGCUGUUCGUUCAUACACACACCGACUGGAUAGAUAAUACUUGAAAAGGGACUGACUGUGAGUCACCUUUUUAAAGCAAUAUUCUUUUUUUCAGAUAGAAGAAUGACCAUAAGUAGACCUGAACUGAACAAGUACAUCUGCCUUUUCGUCUUGAUUCAUAAUCAAGAAAGACAGGAUCAUCCAUAUAUUUUAUGAGGGGAAAACUGAAACAAAGGAGCAAAUAAAGGAGAAAACAUCAUGUAACCUGCUCUUAAGCCUUGAGAAGAGAUGAUCUGCAUGUAGAAGGUCGUAUGAUCUUGGAUAAGUACCAAAAGCCUCACAUAGACUAAUCGUGGUACACGCCAAUAAGUCCUCGUUCAAAGACUACGGGAAGGGUGUUUGGUGCAUGUACAGGAAUAACAUUCAUCACCCACACCUUCUUCUGUGCAAGAGCUGCUGCAAAUCUGUGUAUAUUAUUCUCAGUUGUUAGCAUCCUUGCUGAGGUACAAUAUUACAAUUAAAAGAAGAGGGAGACCCAAUAACAAUUUAAUAUUUGAGGCUCUUUCAUCAGAUUAACCAAAGCUAGGUGCUUACCCUCCAUUGAUGGCUUUGAUAUCCAUUACAUUCCGGAUGUUGGACCAAUCAAUACCCAAGCCAACUAGAUAAGAAUUGUCAACAAUAGCUUUCCAGUGCUCACUGUCUGCGAUCAAUUGCUCUCUAUUGUUCAUCCAGUCGGGAUAAGAUUCAAGUCUCUUUGGCCAUUCCUCAGGCCAUUCGGUUCCUCGUUGUUCUAUGCAUUCAAGAAUUGUGUGCAAGCAAGAUUUAAUUGGCACGUACCUGUUGCAGAUAAGGUAAUUGGAAUUUAACAUUUGAGAGGAUAAGGAAAGAAGCAUGACAGUUUUAGAACUAAUGUGUUUUUGACUCUUAAGGUUUAUCAUAAAUCAUGCUUGUUCUACCACUCCUGAGAGAGUUGUAGCUAAUUUGUGUAAUGACAUACAAUGGUGGAGUUGUGCAUUUAUAUUCCAAAGAUUACUCGUCCAUAUGCAGUAGCGGAAGUAUGUGCAAAGGAAUUGCAAAUUGAUCGAAAAGAGCAAAGAGAGACAAGUAUAACAACACAGGCUUUUCCCACUCACCAAGAUGCAUCUGGGUUCUCAUUUGCUUUGCAUAGAGGUGGAACUUUUUUCCGUCUCAAUUUGUAUAUGUCAUUUGCUUGUGGUACUUUUUGAUAUCAUCAGUUUUAUCAGCGAGGAUGUUCCAACAGAUUGAUGCUAUCAUCGUGGAUAUAGCUGGAGAAGAAGGUUGAUGUUAUGAGCAUGAGUACUUUACAAAAAGGCAUUCAUAAAUACAUGCUGAAAAGAAAAGUAAAGCACGCAAAAUUGAAUAUCUUAAAAAGGAUGAAAUCAAAAUGAUAGCUCGUCUUUCAAGUUUCACAAAGGAAAAAGACUUGAUAACAAUGCAAGACAAUUUCAAGCUACAAGCCAGAAAAUGAAGAGGACAAACAGAAGCCAUUUUCCUUAACGUAAAUAGAGGACAAACCUUCUUCAACUUCAAUGCUAUUGUGCUUUGAAGACAAAAUAAAAUAACCUCCAGGCCUCAAAAUUCUGUUCAUCUUUAUAAGAUGCUUCCCCCCUGAAAGUAAACCUCCUGAUAUUACGGAAAAAGAAACAGAAACAAGAAAAAGAAAUAUCUAGCAAUAACUUAACACUAACCGUUAGAAUGCCAAGAUACAUAUAUAGCAAUCAUUACAGUGAAUAGCAUCAAAGACGCCACUAGGAAAGGGAAGCCUCCGAGUUCGGAAUGGGGUAACUACUGUUGGAAAACCACGCUCAAGUGCAACUUGUGCUAGAUCCACAAGGUCAUCUUUUAAGCCUAGAGUAAGUGUUAACACGUCCUUUUCAAGCAGAGAAACCCCAAAGCUUGAAUCUUUACAUCCAAUAUCCAGCACAACAUGUAUAUAUAUUCAAUGUCUGGUACCAUCUACCAAUCUCCAAUAUCAAUUCACACAUCAAACACAAGGAGAGACUUUGCAAGUAGCAUUCAACUGACAACUAAAUAAGUAAGUAAUGAUACUACUGUUAGCAGUAUCAUCUCAAACCAGCCAGGCAUACACCUAGUGUUUGAAUCUAGUGAUAAUUAACAAAGAGUUAACCAAUUCCAAAUCAACUACAACCAGAAAUUGCACAAGCAUUACUGUGUGGUGAAGACAAGUCAUCUUUUAUCUUCUCUACUAAAAGAAAAGAUCAUAAUACAAGAGUAAAGCAGCUCAAGAUCAUGCUUAUUGUGCCAGAAGAAUGCAAAAAAAAUUUAAAAAAAUAGACAUCUGUUUUUACUCUACUGAUCAGCUUUGGCAAAGUUUUUCAAGCAUGACUGGACUGAAUUUGCUCACGCAUAUGAAGAUUCAUAGACAAUGUGGGUGCAUUUAUAUGAUUUUUUUGUAUAAGAUAAUCAUUAGACCUUUGAGCAGUGCAAUUGCUAAGAGAAACAAACAAAGAAUCAUUAAAAGGGACUCACCUCUUCUAUUUAAUCUAGGUAGUGUUGAAUUCCACCUUUGGGUAUAGAUUGGUUCGUCGGAAAAAUGAGAUAUUCUCCAGACUCCACCACCCAGCUCCCUCUCUUAACAAAUGCCUCUAGUUUCGGGUGUGCCACAUUUUUAUAAAGUAUCUGUAAAUAUUAAGAACUUAAUAUAAGAAAGAACAGAUAAAACUGUAUUUACUGAAGAUGAGCUUGAUUCUCAUAUCUUUGACUUACUAUCAGGCCAUCUUACUGGAGUCUCAUAACCACCAGGAGGAAGGGGAACAAGACACAUUUGAGGUGCUUUAGGACAACUUCUUUCAUGAUGCCGAUAAUUCUGCAACUUUCCACUGGCACUUUCAAAGUCAAUGCAAGGAAUUGCUUCUUGUACUACAUAAAUUCCAAGUAUAAUGUGCUUUUGGAUUAAGUAAGCCAUCAAUCAGCUAGAUAAGGAUCUGCAUUCAACUUUUGGGUUUUAAUAUUCCAAACAAACAGUAAAGGACUGAGGCAUGAUGACUGAUCAAUUUGAGAAACUUUAAGGCAUCAUUCAAGUUCAUUUUUAAUUCAUUUGAAAUACAUAAUUGGGCUUAGAAGGAAUAUGAGAUAGCCUAGUCUACAUCUAUAACUUAUGAUCAGAGACAAUGAAAAUUUUAUACAUCUAGACAUGAACUAUAUAUAAUUAGCCCAAAGUCUUUACGGAGUCACCUUUGUUCAUGACAUACUGAGCAUUCAGAAUAAGUAGAGGAUAAUAGCAUUAACUGUAUGAGAAAAUGUGAUAGAUAUUGCAAUUACAAACACUUUAUGCAAACUCUGAAAUUGAGUGAACAUAUAUAUUACAUAAUUAAAACAAUACUUAUAAGCUCAUCCGCUUUGGCACUUCAGUUAAUGGUCCAACUCUCCAUCCUCUUGUUGUUUAAUUGUUAUUAAGCUCUCCUUAUAAUAAAAAACCCCACAACCACUAUAACCAAAUGCUGCAUCAUCUUUCAAGCACGAAUGUUGAAAUCCAAGAUAUCUUGUCUUGUUAGUCCGAAUAUUAUAGGAGAACAGUCGAGAAGCUCUAGUUACCAAAAUGAGAGAGCUAUCAUAGCAAGAGAUAAAAUGUGGGAAGCAUUGAAAGGUAAUAAGUUUGUUCCAGACCCCUGGUUGGAUCAUUACCCAUAUAUCAUAAUAAAAUUUUUCAACCAUUUUCUUGUUCAAGAUGGCAAUGGAAUCAUCAAGCAACAUCAUACCAAAUGCAUAAACAUAAGGAGAUUUAGGAUCUGGAUCUGGCCCUUCAAUCUCUUCAAACAUUUCUCUCCCAAAGUUGAAUAAAAGAAUGGUGCUGAUAUUGUUAUUAAUUAGCAGCCAGUAAUAAUUUCCAUUCAAAUAAGCAGUACCAUAUGUGCGUCUCACCUCUUUGUCAAAUGGGGGUGGUUUGUCGAAAUCUUCAAUUUUGAAAACUCUCCAUGAGUCCCUACGACACGAAUAGACUGCUGCUUUAUAGUGAAGAAAGUAAACAACUUUAUAAUCAUUAGUCAAGGGGUCUAUUCCCAAACCGAAGUUAGGGGAAUAAUCGAUUAUGGGUGAAGGGAGAUGAAGGGAUCUCACCUCCCUAGUAGCAGGAUUCCACAAUGCAGCACUAUUAAUUUGUCCGUACAUUAAGAACAAGCCGUCCACAUAACCUAUGAGGUCUUGCAUACCUAGGAACGUUUGGGAAUUUUCUUCAGAAAUCAAAGUCAUGGGACAGGAAUCAUCAUCAAUGUCACCAAUAUCAUAAAUCAGGAGUUGUAAGGGGCUACGAUUCUUCUUCAAGUGUUGUUGAAUGAAUUUAGGGGUUUUGAUAAGAGCGUACCAGUUUUUGCAUGCACAUUUGAAUCGCAAUAACAAUUUGACAGGACACCUCAACAAAAUCUCAUUCACUGUAUCCUCAGGAAAAUUAGCUACAUAAUCAUCCAUCAAACUAUGAUUAGGGAAAGCCAAGAAAUUGAAAACAACAGAAGCAAUUUUGCUUCCUUAAAUAGACAAGGAAGAAAGUUCCUCAUUCAAAUCUGUUACAAUAAUUAAUUUUACUAUCUUUAAUUUUUUUUUUUCUAAAUUUAUCUUUAAAGAAAAAGGAAAAUCCAUAAAUAGGCAUCCUACAUUUCAUUUUUAUGGACCUUUAUAUUUUAAAAAAUAAAUCAUUUUAUUGACCUCUGUAUUGUAUACUAAAAAUAAAUGUCUACUUUUUAAAAAACAAAAACAAAGAGUUACUAUUAUUUUUUCCAAACAUGAUAGUAGUCAUUUACUUACAUUAUUUUCCAGUCCAAUCUAAGAUUAAAAUUUUGAAGGAUAUCCCAUUCUAAUCUUGGCAAGUGUUUUAAUUAUUAUAGUAUACAAUAUUAGUCUCUUCAUAUAUAUUUUGAUACUCAUUAAUUUCCCUACCCUCUUUUCUUCCCUAAAUCCGUAUAAGUAAGAAAAAUGUUUUCUACUCAUAAAUUUUAGGAAAUUGAAUUUAACAAUAAGUCUAAAAAUUGAAUUUAACAAGUAAUUAGUUGGAUUAUUUUGUGGGUUUAUGUUAAGGUAGUUUAUUUGGUGAUGAAAUUGCAGGGAUAUAAAAUAAUUGGUUCGCAUAGCGGUGUGAAACUUUGUAGAUGGACAACUUAGAGGUUGCUUAUAGCACUCAUUUGAGAGUCACAUGUGAUUGUUUUUCUUUUCCAGUACAUAUGAUUGUUUAUAAUGUUUGCAAAUUUUACUGGGUAUCCUUGAACUUAUUUCGAAAAGUCAGCUACAUGCUUAACUAUCAUAGCGACUUAUUACACAUCUAUACUAUUAAAUGGUGAAUUUAUUUACUACCUGCUAUGUAUAGUACCACUCUCACAAUCGAAAGUGUAUCUCACUUGCGCCACAUUAAUGUCAUCUCAUUGCCACAUCGAUCAGAUGUCAUGUCAGAUUUCAAAUAAAGUUAUUCAUGUCAUUCAAUUGUUUCUUCUUCCAUGAACACCACCAUGGAACCACUAACAUUGCCAUCAUAUUAAUACUAAAUCUAUAUAUUUCUUCAUAAAAAUCUUCUCUUUUUUCUAAUGCAACAAAACAAUAUGAAAUAACUCAGGAAGAAUUCUUUGAAACAAAACGUUCGCCAUCAUAGAACAAAAAAAUAACUUCCCAGAAAAUCUAAAACAAAGCAAAAAUGGAAAAGAAAAUAAAAACAAAACAAACAGAGUUUUCUCUUCAAGCAAACAAAUCUAUUCUCAAGGGUGAAAUUACAACUUUCAAAAUUGUUACUACUUAAAAAUUCUUAAGCUACAACCUUCUUUUUAAGCUUUGCAAGCUCCUGUCUCACCACACCAACCACAAAUUUCACCAUCUACUAAUAAAUUCACCAUCAAAAUCACGCUAUCACUUUCGUUUCCACAAAAAUCAUAAAGAUCCACCACAAAAUUCAAUAUUUACCUACAGAUCUGUCAUUAUAUUUUAUUUUUUUUAAAUCAAUCAUCAAUUUUCUCAACCACCAACAAAAUCGAAGAGUAAAAUCGGAUAUAAUAAAAAUGAUAAAAUCAAAUAAUCAUUAAAAUAGAAUAUAAUUGGAGAUGUGAAGAAGAUGAGUAGGGGAGUGUGGGGUGUGGGUAGAAAGAAGAUUUUGAUUACUCCCUCUGUCCCAAUUUAUGUGGCACUUUUUAUUUUUUGAGAGUCAAACAGUUUAAGUUUGAUAAAAAAUUUGCGCGUGGAAUCUUCAAAUUUUUUUAAAUGAAAUUUAUAUAUAUGUAAAAUACAUAAAACGUACUAUAAGUCACAAUAAUUAACAAUUCAAAAUAAUUAAAAGAUAUAUUAAAAAUUUACGGCCAAAGAUAAACUUAUUUGAAUCUCGAAAUCUGAAAAGUGCCACAUAAAUUGGGACGGAGGGAGUGUUAUUUUUACUUUAUUUUUUAUUUAACGCGUUUUUCUUUUUUUUGCCAUGUUAGUUACUCAAUUAUAGGGGUAAAAAAAAAUUCAUUUUUGAAUAAUAAAGAUGUGUAAUAUGUCAGUAUAAUAGUUUAAGUGUGUAACUGAAUUUUUGAAACAAGUUCAGGGAUGAUUUUAUGCAUUUUCUCAAUUUUACUACUGCAUUCUGUCCAUGACUCGUAUAGUGAUCCUGUUGACAUGAUUGUAUUUGAACUUUCAACAAUAUCUUUAUUUGUGUUCAAGUUGCAACUUUGUUUGUACUAUAAUGAGAUCCAGUUGCUGAAAGUUUUUUAGAGUGCUAGAAUUAUUUGGGUUGAUGAAGUAUAUAUGUAGAGAAUAAGAAAAUAAGGUUUGCAUGUGCAUGCAGGGGCGGAUUUAGGAAGGGGGAGGGGUGUCACGUGACACUACUGAACAAGUAUAUACAAUUACGAAACAGAAGCAAAUAAAGCAUAUAUUAUCUAUAUAUGUUAUAGGCGACACUCCUUUUAAUAACAAGAGAUGCGUGUAGCUUAGCUGGUUUUGGCUGAAAUUUCAUAGAUCAAGUUGCGUGUUUAAGAAAGAAUCUUGAAUGAAAUUAUUUUGAAUACAUUUCACACAAAAAAAAAAAAAAAAAAAAG
rnacentral:lncRNA from 1 species